UACGUAGGGUGCGAGCGUUGUCCGGAAUUAUUGGGCGUAAAGGGCUCGUAGGCGGUUUGUCGCGUCGGGAGUGAAAACCUCGGGCUUAACUCGGGGCUUGCUUUCGAUACGGGCAGACUGGAGGUAUGCAGGGGAGAACGGAAUUCCUGGUGUAGCGGUGAAAUGCGCAGAUAUCAGGAGGAACACCUAUAGCGAAGGCAGCUCGCUGGGACGGUACUGACGCUGAGGCGCGAAAGCGUGGGGAGCAAACAGG
rnacentral:rRNA from 1 species